UGUUGCGUGAGAGCGGCAGUUUUCGGGCGGCGGCCGGAGCGGUCGGACGUGUGUCUGUGCGUGCGUCUUGUUUGUUAAAUUAUUAAAUAAAUUAUUAAACCGCGACCGCGACACGAAUUAAUUAAAGUGAUUCUGUGCUGUGCUGUGCUGUGAAAUUUUAAGGAUAUUUUGUACAAGGGACGAUUUAACCAAAUUCUUAUCACAUGUUUUGCUUCCACCUUCAAGGGUUGCCCAACACGAAUGCAAAGAUUGCAUUAAACAGUCGUCAAAUGUGCUAACCAUUGCAAUUUCCACUUGGAGUUAUGAAUUUUGAGAGCUCAAAAGCUAGUGUCUGUGUUGGAUUUAUUACGGCCUGGUUGCGGCGGGCCUGCAGGAUUCGGAGGAUUUCAAAGGCGUUCUUCGUCUGGUUCUUCAGAGAUUAUUUUUUAACUGACAAUAAUUAUCAUUAAACGUUGUUAUAUUUGUGUGAUUGAUUAUGUUUUUUUUAAUAAACGCUAAAGAAA